CACACUCACAGACUUACUGGCUCCAGAUUUGAAGAGGCCAUGGACAACGUGCCCUCUAGUGGGUCCUUUACUCAAUUGGAGGGAGCAUUUUAAAAAUGUGAUUCUGAGUUUAAAUCGUUUCAAGGUAAUAUUCCAUCAUGUUAAACUUCUACUCAGGGAUGUGGAACCUGUGACUGUAUGUUGCUGAAUUAUAAUUCUCAAACGAAUCUGUCAGCAUCCUUUACUAAGUAGUUCAGCAACAUUUGAAAAGACAUACCUCUAGCCUUUAUAAUGUUUCAUGUCUAAAUCAGGGCUUAGGUUAAAUCAGACAGUUGCAGAAAAACUGUAAAAUAUUGUCUGGGCAACUCUUUGUAGGCUACAAAAGAUGCUGUCGGAGCUGGAUGAAGACUUUGCUGCCAUCUAAAGGGCUUAACAAGAUUUACACACAGAUGCAUCAACUUCUGAAAUCAGCAUCUUUUUCUGGCUCUGGGUGCCAAAGAAAAUCACCAUAAAGUCAUGAAGUUUCCAGAAAUUCUCUCAAAAUUUUGAAGUCUUUCAGUUGAACUUCCAGUGUCAGGAGAGUUUAAUGAGACUUCACAAGAUUUCACCAUUCCCAUGGAAGGUUUGACAUUUUCAAAAAGACUGUGCAAGUUUUCACAAAACUUUAAGUGGAGCAGCUGCAACCCUUGGUGGUCAUCUUGGUGCUUUGUCACUAAAUCUUGCUGUAAAUCCAUUGUGCCUGUAAGCUCUUUUGACCUGAUCCUAAAUUAAUAAAUUAUUCCCUGCUUGCCUG